UAAAAUUAAUGUGAAUUGCAUUUAAUAAUAAUAAUAUAGCACGUCAUUUCCGUUUUCGUCUAGCUCUCGUUUUUCUGUUUUCUUUUUUACUGAGAGAAUCGCUCUUUCACGUAUGUCGUCUCAUCGGCUUCCUUCUGGCCCGUCUGGGCAGAGGAGAGCCUCCCUCCUUUCUGUCCGGAGGUGGUUUGCCCUUCCCUACCUUCAAGUGGUGGAAAGAGCUUAAGAACAGAGCCUGAAUUUAUGAGUUCCACGUGCUCGUGAAGGAGGAAGGCGACUCUUCUUUGUAGAUGCUCAUUACCUUCUUUUUCUGGUUCCUUGGUUUCAUCUGCAUGUGCGUCAGUAUGGCUCUAGAUCUGUUGUUUCACCGUGUGGAGGUUUAGACAAAUUUUAGUUUAAAUACAGCUCGUUUUUGGAUCCGUGUGCCGAUCCUUAGGCAGGAUUAUUGAACCUCAAGGCUUUCUAUAAUGGCUCUUGAGCUCUGACCAGCAUCCAUUCCGGCAGUUCAGAUGUCUCAUUGGCUGUUCUUUUUGUUCUCUGGCUAAACAGCUCAAAUAUGUUUGAGAUUGGAGGUUCUCUUGAUUGCCUGUGCUCUAUUUUAGCUUUAUUUGCUUUUUCAGCGACCAUUGCAGUCCGUUCCUGGUGGCAUUAAUGGCAGCGGCGACUUUUUCUUCAAUCCCCAGCUUAGGAGUAUAGGGUUUUUAGUUUUCUGAUUGUACUAAAUAAUAUUUCUUUCCUAUUUUAAUAGAAUAAUUUUUAAAAAAUUAUAUUCC